AGUGAACGCUGGCGGCGUGCUUAACACAUGCAAGUCGAACGAGAACGGGUUAUAGCUUGCUAUAAUUGUCAGCUAAGUGGCGCACGGGUGAGUAAUGUAUAGGUAAUAUGCCUCUUACUAAGGGAUAACAAAUGGAAACGUUUGCUAAUACCUUAUACUCCUUAUUAACAGAAGUUAAUAAGGGAAAGAUUUAUUGGUAAGAGAUUAGCCUGUAUUGUAUCAGUUAGUUGGUGGUGUAAUGGCCUACCAAGACUAUGACACAUAACUGGUUUGAGAGGAUGAUCAGUCUCACUGGAACUGAGACACGGUCCAGACUCCUACGGGAGGCAGCAGUGGGGAAUAUUGCACAAUGGACGAAAGUCUGAUGCAGCAACGCCGUGUGGAGGAUGAAACAUUUCGGUGCUUAAACUCCUUUUAUAUGAGAAGAUAAUGACGGUAUUAUAUGAAUAAGCUCCGGCUAACUCCUUGCCAGCCGCCGCGGUAA
rnacentral:rRNA from 1 species